rnacentral:rRNA from 1 species
CACGGGGGGAGCAAGCGUUGUUCGGAAUCACUGGGCGUAAAGGGCGUGUAGGCGGUCAAGUAAGUGGAAUGUGAAAUGCCCCGGCUCACCCGGGGACCUGCAUCCCAAACUGCUUGGCUUGAGUAUGGGAGAGGAUGAGGGAAUUCCUGGUGUAGCGGUGAAAUGCGUAGAUAUCAGGAGGAACACCGGUGGCGAAGGCGGCAUCCUGGACCAAUUCUGACGCUGAGGAGCGAAAGCCAGGGGAGCAAACGGG